rnacentral:rRNA from 1 species
AGAGUUUGAUCCUGGCUCAGGACGAACGCUGGCGGCGUGCUUAACACAUGCAAGUCGAACGCUGAAGCCUGGCUUUUGUUGGGUGGAUGAGUGGCGAACGGGUGAGUAACACGUGAGUAACCUGCCCUCUUCUUUGGGAUAACGCCCGGAAACGGGUGCUAAUACUGGAUAUUCACUUGCCUUCGCAUGGGGGUGGGUGGAAAGGGUUUUUUCUGGUGGGGGAUGGGCUCGCGGCCUAUCAGCUUGUUGGUGGGGUGAUGGCUUACCAAGGCUUUGACGGGUAGCCGGCCUGAGAGGGUGACCGGUCACAUUGGGACUGAGAUACGGCCCAGACUCCUACGGGAGGCAGCAGUGGGGAAUAUUGCACAAUGGGCGCAAGCCUGAUGCAGCGACGCCGCGUGAGGGAUGGAGGCCUUCGGGUUGUGAACCUCUUUCGCUCAUGGUCAAGCCGCAACUCGUGGUUGUGGUGAGGGUAGUGGGUAAAGAAGCGCCGGCUAACUACGUGCCAGCAGCCGCGGUAAUACGUAGGGCGCGAGCGUUGUCCGGAAUUAUUGGGCGUAAAGGGCUUGUAGGCGGUUGGUCGCGUCUGCCGUGAAAUCCUCUGGCUUAACUGGGGGCGUGCGGUGGGUACGGGCUGACUUGAGUGCGGUAGGGGAGACUGGAACUCCUGGUGUAGCGGUGGAAUGCGCAGAUAUCAGGAAGAACACCGGUGGCGAAGGCGGGUCUCUGGGCCGUUACUGACGCUGAGGAGCGAAAGCGUGGGGAGCGAACAGGAUUAGAUACCCUGGUAGUCCACGCUGUAAACGUUGGGCACUAGGUGUGGGGGCCACCCGUGGUUUCUGCGCCGUAGCUAACGCUUUAAGUGCCCCGCCUGGGGAGUACGGCCGCAAGGCUAAAACUCAAAGGAAUUGACGGGGGCCCGCACAAGCGGCGGAGCAUGCGGAUUAAUUCGAUGCAACGCGAAGAACCUUACCAAGGCUUGACAUGCACGGCGGCGCUGCAGAGAUGUGGUGGCAUUUGGUUGGUCGUGUGCAGGUGGUGCAUGGUUGUCGUCAGCUCGUGUCGUGAGAUGUUGGGUUAAGUCCC